rnacentral:misc_RNA from 1 species
GAAGAAUAUAACAAGAUAUGAGGCUUUGUUAAGGUAUAUGGAUAGGCUGUGGGUGGAUUUGGUUGGUCUCAGGUGGUUCAAGGACCGGUUGAUGUUAUCUGAAAGACAAAGAAACUUCGGAAAGCUAAUGGGUGUGUUUCCUGUUGGCACUCCGAUGUUUAACUCAGUAAAAGUUAUGACAAGAGGUUAACAGCAAAGGAGAUAACAGGUAGAGAAGUAAGAGUUCAUAUGACAAGAGGUUAACAGCAAAG